rnacentral:rRNA from 1 species
AAUCGAACCCGGAGAUAGCUGGUUCUCCUCGAAAUAGCUUUAGGGCUAGCCUCAUGGAUCAUUGGUGGGGGUAGAGCACUGAAUGUGCGCGGGGGCCACAAAGCCUACCAAACGCUAUCAAACUUCGAAUACCAUACAAUGCAGACCAUGGGAGUCAGUCCGCGAGAGAUAAGUUCCGCGGGCAAAAGGGGAACACCCCAGAUCAACCGCUAAGGUCCCCAAGUUCACGUUAAGUGGAGAAGGAUGUGGAAUUGCACAGACAACCAGGAUGUUGGCUCAGAAGCAGCCACACAUUUAAAGAGUGCGUAAUAGCUCACUGGUCGAGUGAUUGUGCGCCGAAGAUGUCCGGGGCUAAACGUGACACCGAAGCGAUGGGUGCAUCUGAAAGGAUGCGCGGUAGAGGAGCAAUGUGCAGAGGCAGAAGCCGUAUCGAGAGGCACGGUGGACACUGCACAAGAGAGAAUGCCGGUAUGAGUAGCGAGAGGCAUGCGAGAAACAUGCCCGUCGAAAGCCCAAGGUUUCCUGGGGAAGGUUCAUCCGCCCAGGGUAAGUCGGGGCCUAAGCCGAGGACGGAAGUCGUAGGCGAUGGACAGCAGGUGUAGAUUCCUGCACUACCGAUGGAAUGAAGCAGUGACACAGAAGGAUAACUCGAGCAGGGUGAUGGUCAACCCUGUGCAAGCAUUGAGGUUGGGUUGUAGUGAAGUACGCAAUCCUAUAAGCUGAGAUGUGAUGCGGACCGAAAUUUCAGUAGGGAAGCGAGUGAGUUCACGCUGGCGAGAAAAGCUGCUAGUAUAUCCAAAGGUACCCGUACCGGAAACCGACGCAGGUGGGCGAGGAGAGAAUCCUGAGACGAACGGGAGAACCCUUGUUAAGGAACUCGGCAAAAUGACCCCGUAACUUCGGGAUAAGGGGUGCCUGCGAGAGCAGGCCGCAGAGAAUAGUCACAAGCGACUGUUUAGCAAAAACACAGGUAUCUGCGAAAGCGAGAGCUGACGUAUAGGUGCUGACACCUGCCCGGUGCUGGAAGGUUAAGGGAACAUGUUAGAGCAAUCGAAGCAUCGAACCGAAGCCCCAGUAAACGGCGGCCGUAACUAUAACGGUCCUAAGGUAGCGAAAUUCCUUGUCGGGUAAGUUCCGACCCGCACGAAUGGUGUAACGACUUGUGAGCUGUCUCAACAGGGGGCCCGGUGAAAUUGAAGUAUGGGUGAAGAUGCCCAUUACCCGCGACUGGACGGAAAGACCCCGUAGAGCUUUACUGCAGCCUGAUAUUGAGUUUCGGUAACUGAUGCACAGGAUAGGUGGGAGUCUGAGAGACAUGGGUUUCGGCUCAUGUGGAGACGGUGUUGGGAUACCACUCUUCGGUUACUGAAAUUCUAACAUAGCUCUGUGAAACCAGAGGAUGGACAGUGUCAGGUGGACAGUUUGACUGGGGCGGUCGCCUCCGAAAGAGUAACGGAGGCGCCCAAAGGUACCCUCAGAAUGGAUGGAAACCAUUCGAAGAGCGCAAAGGCAGAAGGGUGCCUGACUGCGAGAUUGACAAAUCGAGCAGAGACGAAAGUCGGGCUUAGUGAUCCGGCGGUAUUGAGUGGAAAAGCCGUCGCUUAACGGAUAAAAGCUACCUCGGGGAUAACAGGCUGAUCUCCCCCAAGAGUCCACAUCGACGGGGAGGUUUGGCACCUCGAUGUCGGCUCAUCGCAUCCUGGGGCUGAAUUCGGUCCCAAGGGUUUGGCUGUUCGCCAAUUAAAGCGGCACGCGAGCUGGGUUCAGAACGUCGUGAGACAGUUCGGUCCCUAUCCAUCGUGGGCGUAGGAGUCAUGAGAGGAGCUGUUCCUAGUACGAGAGGACCGGAAUGGACGCACCACUGGUGCAACUGUUGUCGUGCCAACGGCAUAGCAGGGAAGCGAAGUGCGGAUGGGAUAAACGCUGAAGGCAUCUAAGCGUGAAGCCCACCUCAAGAAUAAGACUCCACAAUAGACCCCUGGAGGACUACCAGGUAGAUAGGUCAUCGGUGGAAGCGCUGUAAGGCGUGU